GACGAACGCUGGCGGCGUGCUCAACACAUGCCAGUCGAACGGAAAGGCCCUGCUUUUGUGGGGUGCUCGAGUGGCGAACGGGUGAGUAACACGUGAGUAACCUGCCCUUGACUUUGGGAUAACUUCAGGAAACUGGGGCUAAUACCGGAUAGGAGCUCCUGCUGCAUGGUGGGGGUUGGAAAGUUUCGGCGGUUGGGGAUGGACUCGCGGCUUAUCAGCUUGUUGGUGGGGUAGUGGCUUACCAAGGCUUUGACGGGUAGCCGGCCUGAGAGGGUGACCGGCCACAUUGGGACUGAGAUACGGCCCAGACUCCUACGGGAGGCAGCAGUGGGGAAUAUUGCACAAUGGGCGGAAGCCUGAUGCAGCAACGCCGCGUGCGGGAUGACGGCCUUCGGGUUGUAAACCGCUUUCGCCUGUGACGAAGCGUGAGUGACGGUAAUGGGUAAAGAAGCACCGGCUAACUACGUG
rnacentral:rRNA from 1 species